rnacentral:rRNA from 1 species
UACGUAGGGUGCGAGCGUUUAAUCGGAAUUACUGGGCGUAAAGUGUGCGCAGGUGGCCGCGCAAGUCGAGUGUGAAAUCCCCGGGCUUAACUUGGGAAUUGCGCUCGAAACUACGUGGCUCGAGUAUGGCAGAGGAAGGUGGAAUUCCACGUGUAGCGGUGAAAUUCGUAGAUAUUCGCAAGAACACCCAGUGGCGAAGGCGGCUCACUGGCCCGAGUACUGACGCUGAGGCACGAAAGCGUGGGGAGCAAACAGG